GACGAACGCUGGCGGCGUGCUUAACACAUGCAAGUCGAACGGUGAAGCUCCAGCUUGCUGGAGUGGAUCAGUGGCGAACGGGUGAGUAACACGUGAGCAACCUGCCCCUGACUCUGGAAUAAGCGCUGGAAACGGCGUCUAAUACUGGAUACGAGAAGGGUCCGCAUGGGCACUUUCUGGAAAGUUUUUCGGUUGGGGAUGGGCUCGCGGCCUAUCAGCUUGUUGGUGAGGUAGUGGCUAACCAAGGCGACGACGGGUAGCCGGCCUGAGAGGGCGACCGGCAACAGUGGGACGGAGACAGGCCCCAGCCUCCUACGGGGGGAAGGAGUGGGGAAUAUUGCACAGUGGGCGAAAGCCUGAGGCAGCGACCCCGGGUGAGGGAUGACGGCCUUCGGGUUUUAAACCUUUUUCGCCUGGGAAGAAGCGAAAGUGACGGUCCCGGGAAAAGAAGCCCCGGCUAACUCCGGC
rnacentral:rRNA from 1 species